rnacentral:rRNA from 1 species
CGCGGCCUAUCAGCUUGUUGGCGGGGUAACGGCCCACCAAGGCUACGACGGGUAGCUGGUCUGAGAGGAUGGCCAGCCACAUUGGGACUGAGACACGGCCCAGACUCCUACGGGAGGCAGCAGUGGGGAAUAUUGCGCAAUGGCCGCAAGGCUGACGCAGCGACGCCGCGUGUGGGAUGACGGCCUUCGGGUUGUAAACCACUGUCGGGAGGGACGAAUACAGGGCUUCGAAUAGGGGACCCUGGGUGACGGUACCUCCAAAGGAAGCACCGGCUAACUCCGUGCCAGCAGCCGCGGUAAUACGGAGGGUGCGAGCGUUGUCCGGAAUCACUGGGCGUAAAGGGCGCGUAGGCGGCUCGUUAAGUUGCCGGUGAAAUCCCGGGGCUCAACUCCGGGGGGUCUGGUAAGACUGGCGGGCUCGAGCACGGUAGAGGCAGAUGGAAUUCCCGGUGUAGCGGUGGAAUGCGUAGAGAUCGGGAAGAACACCAGUGGCGAAGGCGGUCUGCUGGGCCGUUGCUGACGCUGAGGCGCGACAGCGUGGGGAGCAAGCAGGAUUAGAUACCCUGGUAGUCCACGCCGUAAACGAUGGACACUAGGCGUCGGGGGGAGCGACCCCCUCGGUGCCGUCGCUAACGCAGUAAGUGCCCCGCCUGGGGAGUACGG